rnacentral:lncRNA from 1 species
UCAUCUUCAAAUAACCCAGAUCCAUCAUCAUCAUCUUCAAAUAAUUACUCCAACAUAUUAGAUCCCAUCUGCAAGGUUAACUUGGAGCCUAUCCACUAAAACCCUUCUUCACCAAACACAUAUCCAAACUGGGGAUCAAGAUUCUCACUUUGACUCAUCAAUGGCGGACGACGACAUUGAAGAACCAGCCGCUCCGAUUUCUUCAAACCGACCAAAAAAAGAAAGAGGCUCACAUCGAUGCUUCUAACAGGCCAAAAAGUUGAAGUGAGGAGUAUUGAAGAGGGGUUUGAAGGCUCAUGGCAUUCAGCAUCGGUGCAUUGAGCAACGGUUAAGAGGGGUUUGAAGGCUCAUGGCAUUCAAAAUAUCUUCUCCGUCUGUUUGU